rnacentral:rRNA from 1 species
CCUACGGGUGGCAGCAGUGGGGGAUAUUGCACAAUGGGGGAAACCCUGAUGCAGCGACGCCGCGUGGGUGAAGAAGUAUUUCGGUAUGUAAAGCCCUAUCAGCAGGGAAGAAAGAAGACGGUACCUGACUAAGACGCCCCGGCGAUCUCCGGGCAAGCAGCGGCGGUAAUACGUGGGGGGCGAGCGUUAUCCGGAUUCACGGGGUGUAAAGGGAGCGUAGACGGCCGUGCAAGCCAGGGGUAAAAGCCCGGGGCCCACCCCCGGGACUGAUCUUGGACAUGUGCGGUUGAAGUGCGGGGGGGGCAGGGGAAUUCCUGGUGUAGCGGUGAAAUGCGUAGAUAUCAGGAGGAACACCGGCGGCGAAGGCGGCCUGCUGGACCGCGACUGACGUUGAGGCUCGAAAGCGUGGGGAGCGAACAGGAUUAGAUACCCUGGUAGUC